rnacentral:rRNA from 1 species
CGGGGUGCAGCAGGCGCGAAAACUUUACAAUGUACGAAAGUGCGAUAAGGGAACUCCAAGUGCUCAAGCAAUGCUUGGGCUUUUGCCAAGUGUAAGGAGCUUGGCGAAUAAGGGGUGGGUAAGACGGGUGCCAGCCGCCGCGGUAACACUUGCGCCACAAGUGGGACUCACAUUUAUUGGGCCUAAAGCGUUCGUAGCCGGAUCAGUAAGUCUCGGGUGAAAUCGUUGCGCUAAACAAAACGGCGUGCCUGAGAAACUACUAAUCUAGGAACCGGGAGGAGUUAGGAGUAUUCUGGAGGGAGCGGUAAAAUGCUAUAAUCUCCAGAGGACUACCUGUGGCGAAGGCGCCUAACUAGAACGGGUUCGACGGUGAGGAACGAAAGCUAGGGGAGCAAAAGGGAUUAGAUACCCCAGUAGUCCUAGCCGUAAACUCUGUGAAUUAGAUGUUGCAUAUUUUUCGUGAAUAUGCAGUGUCGGAGUGAAGACAUUAAAUUCACCGCCUGGGAAGUACGGUCGCAAGGCUGAAACUUAAAGGAAUCGGCGGGCGAGCACAAGGGCGAAUNGCG